UUUCUUAUACAUGCAAGUCGAGCGGACAGAUGGGAGCUUGCUCCCUGAUGUUAGCGGCGGACGGGUGAGUAACACGUGGGUAACCUGCCUGUAAGACUGGGAUAACUCCGGGAAACCGGGGCUAAUACCGGAUGGUUGUCUGAACCGCAUGGUUCAGACAUAAAAGGUGGCUUCGGCUACCACUUACAGAUGGACCCGCGGCGCAUUAGCUAGUUGGUGAGGUAACGGCUCACCAAGGCGACGAUGCGUAGCCGACCUGAGAGGGUGAUCGGCCACACUGGGACUGAGACACGGCCCAGACUCCUACGGGAGGCAGCAGUAGGGAAUCUUCCGCAAUGGACGAAAGUCUGACGGAGCAACGCCGCGUGAGUGAUGAAGGUUUUCGGAUCGUAAAGCUCUGUUGUUAGGGAAGAACAAGUGCCGUUCAAAUAGGGCGGCACCUUGACGGUACCUAACCAGAAAGCCACGGCUAACUACGUGCCAGCAGCCGCGGUAAUACGUAGGUGGCAAGCGUUGUCCGGAAUUAUUGGGCGUAAAGGGCUCGCAGGCGGUUUCUUAAGUCUGAUGUGAAAGCCCCCGGCUCAACCGGGGAGGGUCAUUGGAAACUGGGGAACUUGAGUGCAGAAGAGGAGAGUGGAAUUCCACGUGUAGCGGUGAAAUGCGUAGAGAUGUGGAGGAACACCAGUGGCGAAGGCGACUCUCUGGUCUGUAACUGACGCUGAGGAGCGAAAGCGUGGGGAGCGAACAGGAUUAGAUACCCUGGUAGUCCACGCCGUAAACGAUGAGUGCUAAGUGUUAGG
rnacentral:rRNA from 1 species